rnacentral:rRNA from 1 species
CCUACGGGUGGCAGCAGUCGAGAAUCAUUCACAAUGGGGGAAACCCUGAUGGUGCGACGCCGCGUGGGGGAAUGAAGGUCUUCGGAUUGUAAACCCCUGUCAUGUGGGAGCAAAUUAAAAAGAUAGUACCACAAGAGGAAGAGACGGCUAACUCUGUGCCAGCAGCCGCGGUAAUACAGAGGUCUCAAGCGUUGUUCGGAAUCACUGGGCGUAAAGCGUGCGUAGGCUGUUUCGUAAGUCGUGUGUGAAAGGCGCGGGCUCAACCCGCGGACGGCACAUGAUACUGCGAGACUAGAGUAAGGGAGGGGGAACCGGAAUUCUCGGGGUAGCAGUGAAAUGCGUAGAUAUCGAGAGGAACACUCGUGGCGAAGGCGGGUUCCUGGACAUUAACUGACGCUGAGGCACGAAGGCCAGGGGAGCGAAAGGGAUUAGAUACCCCAGUAGUC